rnacentral:rRNA from 1 species
GCGUGGAGACAGGUGGUGCAUGGCUGUCGUCAGCUCGUGUCGUGAGAUGUUGGGUUAAGUCCCGCAACGAGCGCAACCCUCACCUCUUGUUGCCAUCAGGUCAUGCUGGGCACUCUAGAGGAACUGCCCCGGUCAACGGGGAGGAAGGCGGGGAUGACGUCAAGUCAUCAUGCCCCUUACGUCCUGGGCUACACACGUGCUACAAUGGCCGGUACAAAGGGAUGCCACACCGCGAGGUAGAGCUAAACCCAAAAAGCCGGUCUAAGUUCAGAUUGGAGUCUGCAACUCGACUCCAUGAAGGAGGAAUCGCUAGUAAUCGCGUAUCAGCACGACGCGGUGAAUACGUUCCCGGGCCUUGUACACACCGCCCGUCACACCACGAAAGCCAGCUGUACUCGAAGUCGCUGAG